GGUUAAGCGACUAAGCGUACACGGUGGAUGCCCUGGCAGUCAGAGGCGAUGAAGGACGUGCUAAUCUGCGAUAAGCGUCGGUAAGGUGAUAUGAACCGUUAUAACCGGCGAUUUCCGAAUGGGGAAACCCAGUGUGAUUCGUCACACUAUCAUUACGUGAAUACAUAGCGUAAUGAAGCGAACCGGGGGAACUGAAACAUCUAAGUACCCCGAGGAAAAGAAAUCAACCGAGAUUCCCCCAGUAGCGGCGAGCGAACGGGGAGGAGCCCAGAGCCUGAAUCAGUGUGUGUGUUAGUGGAAGCGUCUGGAAAGGCGCGCGAUACAGGGUGACAGCCCCGUACACAAAAAUGCACAUGCUGUGAGCUCGAAGAGUAGGGCGGGACACGUGGUAUCCUGUCUGAAUAUGGGGGGACCAUCCUCCAAGGCUAAAUACUCCUGACUGACCGAUAGUGAACCAGUACCGUGAGGGAAAGGCGAAAAGAACCCCGGCGAGGGGAGUGAAAAAGAACCUGAAACCGUGUACGUACAAGCAGUGGGAGCCUCUUAAUGGGGUGACUGCGUACCUUUUGUAUAAUGGGUCAGCGACUUAUAUUCUGUAGCAAGGUUAACCGAAUAGGGGAGCCGGAGGGAAACCGAGUCUUAACUGGGCGUUAAGUUGCAGGGUAUAGACCCGAAACCCGGUGAUCUAGCCAUGGGCAGGUUGAAGGUUGGGUAACACUAACUGGAGGACCGAACCGACUAAUGUUGAAAAAUUAGCGGAUGACUUGUGGCUGGGGGUGAAAGGCCAAUCAAACCGGGAGAUAGCUGGUUCUCCCCGAAAGCUAUUUAGGUAGCGCCUCGUGAAUUCAUCUCCGGGGGUAGAGCACUGUUUCGGCAAGGGGGUCAUCCCGACUUACCAACCCGAUGCAAACUGCGAAUACCGGAGAAUGUUAUCACGGGAGACACACGGCGGGUGCUAACGUCCGUCGUGAAGAGGGAAACAACCCAGACCGCCAGCUAAGGUCCCAAAGUCAUGGUUAAGUGGGAAACGAUGUGGGAAGGCCCAGACAGCCAGGAUGUUGGCUUAGAAGCAGCCAUCAUUUAAAGAAAGCGUAAUAGCUCACUGGUCGAGUCGGCCUGCGCGGAAGAUGUAACGGGGCUAAACCAUGCACCGAAGCUGCGGCAGCGACGCUGAUGCGUUGUUGGGUAGGGGAGCGUUCUGUAAGCCUGUGAAGGUGUGCUGUGAGGCAUGCUGGAGGUAUCAGAAGUGCGAAUGCUGACAUAAGUAACGAUAAAGCGGGUGAAAAGCCCGCUCGCCGGAAGACCAAGGGUUCCUGUCCAACGUUAAUCGGGGCAGGGUGAGUCGACCCCUAAGGCGAGGCCGAAAGGCGUAGUCGAUGGGAAACAGGUUAAUAUUCCUGUACUUGGUGUUACUGCGAAGGGGGGACGGAGAAGGCUAUGUUGGCCGGGCGACGGUUGUCCCGGUUUAAGCGUGUAGGCUGGUUUUCCAGGCAAAUCCGGAGAAUCAAGGCUGAGGCGUGAUGACGAGGCACUACGGUGCUGAAGCAACAAAUGCCCUGCUUCCAGGAAAAGCCUCUAAGCAUCAGGUAGCAUCAAAUCGUACCCCAAACCGACACAGGUGGUCAGGUAGAGAAUACCAAGGCGCUUGAGAGAACUCGGGUGAAGGAACUAGGCAAAAUGGUGCCGUAACUUCGGGAGAAGGCACGCUGAUGGUAGGUGAAGCGACUUGCUCGUGGAGCUGAAAUCAGUCGAAGAUACCAGCUGGCUGCAACUGUUUAUUAAAAACACAGCACUGUGCAAACACGAAAGUGGACGUAUACGGUGUGACGCCUGCCCGGUGCCGGAAGGUUAAUUGAUGGGGUCAGCGCAAGCGAAGCUCUUGAUCGAAGCCCCGGUAAACGGCGGCCGUAACUAUAACGGUCCUAAGGUAGCGAAAUUCCUUGUCGGGUAAGUUCCGACCUGCACGAAUGGCGUAAUGAUGGCCAGGCUGUCUCCACCCGAGACUCAGUGAAAUUGAACUCGCUGUGAAGAUGCAGUGUACCCGCGGCAAGACGGAAAGACCCCGUGAACCUUUACUAUAGCUUGACACUGAACACUGGUCCUUGAUGUGUAGGAUAGGUGGGAGGCUUUGAAGUGUGGACGCCAGUCUGCAUGGAGCCGUCCUUGAAAUACCACCCUUUAAUGGCUGGUGUUCUAACGUUGGCCCCUUAUCGGGGUUGCGGACAGUGUCUGGUGGGUAGUUUGACUGGGGCGGUCUCCUCCUAAAGAGUAACGGAGGAGCACGAAGGUUGGCUAAUCCUGGUCGGACAUCAGGAGGUUAGUGCAAUGGCAUAAGCCAGCUUGACUGCGAGCGUGACGGCGCGAGCAGGUGCGAAAGCAGGUCAUAGUGAUCCGGUGGUUCUGAAUGGAAGGGCCAUCGCUCAACGGAUAAAAGGUACUCCGGGGAUAACAGGCUGAUACCGCCCAAGAGUUCAUAUCGACGGCGGUGUUUGGCACCUCGAUGUCGGCUCAUCACAUCCUGGGGCUGAAGUAGGUCCCAAGGGUAUGGCUGUUCGCCAUUUAAAGUGGUACGCGAGCUGGGUUUAGAACGUCGUGAGACAGUUCGGUCCCUAUCUGCCGUGGGCGCUGGAGAACUGAGGGGGGCUGCUCCUAGUACGAGAGGACCGGAGUGGACGCAUCACUGGUGUUCGGGUUGUCAUGCCAAUGGCACUGCCCGGUAGCUAAAUGCGGAAGAGAUAAGUGCUGAAAGCAUCUAAGCACGAAACUUGCCCCGAGAUGAGUUCUCCCUGAGACUUAGAGUCUCCUGAAGGAACGUUGAAGACGACGACGUUGAUAGGCCGGGUGUGUAAGCGCAGCGAUGCGUUGAGCUAACCGGUACUAAUGAACCGUGAGGCUUAACCUU
rnacentral:rRNA from 1 species